rnacentral:rRNA from 1 species
ACGCUGGCGGCGUGCCUAAUACAUGCAAGUCGAACGGUCUUUCUAUGGAAGCUUGCUUCCACUGAGAAGAUAGUGGCGAACGGGUGAGUAACACGUGGGUAACCUGCCCAUAAGAGGGGGAUAACAUCCGGAAACGGGUGCUAAUACCGCAUAGUUUUCUUGAUCGCAUGAUUGAGAAAGGAAAGACGGCCUUUGUGCUGUCGCUUAUGGAUGGACCCGCGGCGUAUUAGUUAGUUGGUGAGGUAACGGCUCACCAAGACGAUGAUACGUAGCCGACCUGAGAGGGUGAUCGGCCACAUUGGGACUGAGACACGGCCCAAACUCCUACGGGAGGCAGCAGUAGGGAAUCUUCCGCAAUGGACGAAAGUCUGACGGAGCAACGCCGCGUGAGUGAAGAAGGUUUUCGGAAUCGUAAAACUCUGUUGUCAGAGAAGAACAAGUUGGAGAGUAACUGCUCCAGCCUUGACGGUAUCUGACCAGAAAGCCACGGCUAACUACGUGCCAGCAGCAGC